rnacentral:lncRNA from 1 species
GCGGCGACGGUGGCUGGAGUAGUAAUGCCGCCGCCUCUUCUUUCACAUCACCACCAUCACCACCACAACCACCGCCCUCCAACUACAGUAUUGCUGCGCAUACCUCUACCACCGCCACAUCCAGCUGCGCAGCCGCCGCCUCUACAUCCGCCACCGCUGCAAUCUCACCCUCAAGUAGCAGCCCCGCCGCCACCUCCUCAUCUAAUCACUCACUCUCCUCAUCAUUACCAAACUCCCACAGUAG